AUUUAUGUAGUUUAAAAAAAACCUUACAUUUUCAUUGUAAAAAUAAAGAAAUUCUUUUAUAAAUU
rnacentral:tRNA from 1 species